AUUGAACGCUGGCGGCAGGCCUAACACAUGCAAGUCGAGCGGAUGAAGGGAGCUUGCUCCUGGAUUCAGCGGCGGACGGGUGAGUAAUGCCUAGGAAUCUGCCUGGUAGUGGGGGAUAACGUCCGGAAACGGGCGCUAAUACCGCAUACGUCCUGAGGGAGAAAGUGGGGGAUCUUCGGACCUCACGCUAUCAGAUGAGCCUAGGUCGGAUUAGCUAGUUGGUGGGGUAAAGGCCUACCAAGGCGACGAUCCGUAACUGGUCUGAGAGGAUGAUCAGUCACACUGGAACUGAGACACGGUCCAGACUCCUACGGGAGGCAGCAGUGGGGAAUAUUGUACAAUGGGCGAAAGCCUGAUCCAGCCAUGCCGCGUGUGUGAAGAAGGUCUUCGGAUUGUAAAGCACUUUAAGUUGGGAGGAAGGGCAGUAAGUUUAUACCUUGCUGUUUUGACGUUACCAACAGAAUAAGCACCGGCUAACUUCGUG
rnacentral:rRNA from 1 species